rnacentral:rRNA from 1 species
GACGAACGCUGGCGGCGUGCUUAACACAUGCAAGUCGAACGGAAAGGCCCUGCUUUUGUGGGAUGCUCGAGUGGCGAACGGGUGAGUAACACGUGAGUAACCUGCCCUUGACUUUGGGAUAACUUCAGGAAACUGGGGCUAAUACCGGAUAGGAGCUCCUGCUGCAUGGUGGGGGUUGGAAAGUUUCGGCGGUUGGGGAUGGACUCGCGGCUUAUCAGCUUGUUGGUGGGGUAGUGGCUUACCAAGGCUUUGACGGGUAGCCGGCCUGAGAGGGUGACCGGCCAUAUUGGGACUGAGAUACGGCCCAGACUCCUACGGGAGGCAGCAGUGGGGAAUAUUGCACAAUGGGCGGAAGCCUGAUGCAGCAACGCCGCGUGCGGGAUGACGGCCUUCGGGUUGUAAACCGCUUUCGCCUGUGACGAAGCGUGAGUGACGGUAAUGGGUAAAGAAGCACCGGCUAACUACGUG